UCUAAGGAUGCCAGAGGAUCAAGGCUUGCCUUUCCUUCGGCUCAUUAGAACAAACGGUCUUCGGACCAUUUUGCGGGAUGGCGCCGCCUUCGUUUCUCUUUCUCACCGAACGGUUUUGGGACCGGCGCGCACGUGCGCGUUCGGGCACGAACUGUCGUUGCCACUGCUGGCCUGUUGGGUUAGUGAGGCAUCGCCUCGCGAGAGGGGGCCUGUAGCUCAGGUGGUUAGAGCGUACGCCUGAUAAGCGUAAAGUCGAUGGUUCGAGUCCAUCCAGGCCCACCAUCUUCGUGGCGCUACCGCGCUUCGCGCUACUUGAGCGCGUUGGUCGCAGUGCAUGGCCUGUCGUGACGAUCGGCUUCCAGCGCUUCGGCCCCAACGUGCUCAAGCAGCCGAAAGGCGGUAGCACAACAGGAAUGGGGCCUUAGCUCAGCUGGGAGAGCACCUGCUUUGCAAGCAGGGGGUCGUCGGUUCGAUCCCGACAGGCUCCACCAACCGUUCGCUCAAAGAGCACAGAACACCCGCUUCGGCGGGUUUGUUGCGCCCGGGUGCUCCCGGCGCACGACGUAUCAUCGACAUCGUGAAGAGAAGAUUUGUUCGCCCGCCAGCCGUGAGGCCUGGCGCGAGGGCGAGGGUGUGACCGACGUCCGUGCAGACCGGCGUGAGCCGCAACGCACGAAACCACCUUCGUCCUGCCGAC
rnacentral:misc_RNA from 1 species